UAGGGAAUCUUCCGCAAUGGACGCAAGUCUGACGGAGCAACGCCGCGUGAGUGAAGAAGGAUUUCGGUUCGUAAAACUCUGUUGUUAGAGAAGAACAGCGCAUAGAGUAACUGUUAUGCGUGUGACGGUAUCUAACCAGAAAGUCACGGCUAACUACGUGCCAGCAGCCGCGGUAAUACGUAGGUGGCAAGCGUUGUCCGGAUUUAUUGGGCGUAAAGCGAGCGCAGGCGGUCAAUUAAGUCUGAUGUGAAAGCCCCCGGCUCAACCGGGGAGGGUCAUUGGAAACUGGUUGACUUGAGUGCAGAAGAGGAGAGUGGAAUUCCAUGUGUAGCGGUGAAAUGCGUAGAUAUAUGGAGGAACACCAGUGGCGAAGGCGACUCUCUGGUCUGUAACUGACGCUGAGGCUCGAAAGCGUGGGUAGCAAACAGG
rnacentral:rRNA from 1 species